rnacentral:rRNA from 1 species
UACGUAGGGUGCGAGCGUUGUCCGGAAUUAUUGGGCGUAAAGAGCUUGUAGGCGGUUUGUCGCGUCUGCCGUGAAAAUCCGGGGCUCAACCCCGGACUUGCGGUGGGUACGGGCAGACUAGAGUGUGGUAGGGGAGACUGGAAUUCCUGGUGUAGCGGUGAAAUGCGCAGAUAUCAGGAGGAACACCGGUGGCGAAGGCGGUCUGCUGGGGUGAGGCUGACGCUGAGGCGCGACAGCGUGGGGAGCAAACAGG